rnacentral:rRNA from 1 species
UACAGAGGUGGCAAGCGUUGUUCGGAUUUAUUGGGUGUAAAGGGCAGGUAGGUGGUCGCGCAAGUCCGUUGUGAAAUCCUAGGGCUCAACCCUAGAACUGCAAUAGAAACUGCGCGGCUUGAGUACUGGAGAGGUGAGGGGAAUUCUCGGUGUAAGGGUGAAAUCUGUAGAUAUCGAGAGGAAUACCAGUGGCGAAGGCGCCUCACUGGCCAGUAACUGACACUGAGCUGCGAAAGCAAGGGGAGCAAAGCAGG